UGGCUGAGUGGUAAAGCGUUUGGCUUCCAAACCGAAGACCUGGGUUUGAAUCCUGG
rnacentral:tRNA from 1 species